rnacentral:rRNA from 1 species
UCCAGACUCCUACGGGAGGCAGCAGUGAGGAAUAUUGGUCAAUGGGCGGGAGCCUGAACCAGCCAAGCCGCGUGAGGGAAGAAGGUACAGCGUAUCGUAAACCUCUUUUGUCAGGGAACAAAGGCGGGGACUAGUCCCCGGAUGAGGGUACCUGAAGAAAAAGCAUCGGCUAACUCCGUGCCAGCAGCCGCGGUAAUACGGAGGAUGCGAGCGUUAUCCGGAUUUAUUGGGUUUAAAGGGCGCGUAGGUGGUUAAUUAAGUCAGCGGUGAAAGUUUGUGGCUCAACCAUAAAAUUGCCGUUGAAACUGGUUGACUUGAGUAUAUUUGAGGUAGGCGGAAUGCGUGGUGUAGCGGUGAAAUGCAUAGAUAUCACGCAGAACUCCGAUUGCGAAGGCAGCAUGCCGGCUCCACACUGACGCUGAGGCACGAAAGCGUGGGUAUCGAACAGGAUUAGAUACCCGGGUAA